rnacentral:rRNA from 1 species
AUUGAACGCUGGCGGCAUGCUUUACACAUGCAAGUCGAACGGCAGCGCGGGCUUCGGCCUGGCGGCGAGUGGCGAACGGGUGAGUAAUACAUCGGAACGUGCCCAGUAGUGGGGGAUAGCUCGGCGAAAGCCGGAUUAAUACCGCAUACGACCUGAGGGUGAAAGCGGGGGAUCUUCGGACCUCGCGCUAUUGGAGCGGCCGAUGGCAGAUUAGCUAGUUGGUGGGGUAAAGGCCUACCAAGGCGACGAUCUGUAGCUGGUCUGAGAGGACGACCAGCCACACUGGGACUGAGACACGGCCCAGACUCCUACGGGAGGCAGCAGUGGGGAACUUUGGACAAUGGGCGAAAGCCUGAUCCAGCAAUGCCGCGUGUGUGAUGAAGGCCUUCGGGUUGUAAAGCACUUUUGGCGGGAACGAAAAGGACUAUGCCAAUACCACGGUUCGAUGACGGUACCCGCAGAAUAAGCACCGGCUAACUACGUG